rnacentral:rRNA from 1 species
GCAGUCUGCAACUCGACUGCAUGAAGCUGGAAUCGCUAGUAAUCGCGAAUCAGAAUGUCGCGGUGAAUACGUUCCCGGGCCUUGUACACACCGCCCGUCACACCAUGGGAGUUGGAAGCACCCGAAGUCGGUGACCUGACCGAAAGGGAGGGGCCGCCGAAGGUGAAGCCAGCGACUGGGGUGAAGUCGUAACAAGGUAAC